AGAGUUAGUCGAGUGACCGCAUCAGUAUUGAUGAGGAAAGUCCGAGCAUCACAGGGCAAAGGCGGUGGGUAACUCCCACUGAAGGCGACUUCAAGGAUAGUGCAACAGAAAUAUACCGCAAGACCGCAAGGUUUUGUAAGGGUGGAAAGGCGCGGUAAGAGCGCACCAGCAGUUCGGCGACGAAAUUGGCUAUGUAAACCCCGCCUGAUGCAAGAUACGGGUCAAAUGGAUUGCCCGUCCGACCCCAAAAAUCGCUUGAGCAUUCCGGCAACGGUUUGCCUAGACAGAUGGUCAUUCAAGACAGAACUCGGCUUAUAGACUAACUUCAGAG
rnacentral:RNase_P_RNA from 1 species